GACGUAGGGCGCGAGCGUUGUCCGGAUUUAUUGGGCGUAAAGAGCUCGUAGGCGGCUUGUCGCGUCGACUGUGAAAUCCCGCGGCUCAACCGCGGGUCUGCAGUCGAUACGGGCAGGCUAGAGUUCGGUAGGGGAGACUGGAAUUCCUGGUGUAGCGGUGAAAUGCGCAGAUAUCAGGAGGAACACCGAUGGCGAAGGCAGGUCUCUGGGCCGAUACUGACGCUGAGGCGCGAAAGCGUGGGGAGCAAACAGG
rnacentral:rRNA from 1 species